rnacentral:rRNA from 1 species
UGCCAGCAGCCGCGGUAAUACAGAGGGUGCAAGCGUUAAUCGGAAUUACUGGGCGUAAAGCGUGCGUAGGUGGCUUGUCAAGCCAGAUGUGAAAGCCCCGGGCUUAACCUGGGAACUGCAUCUGGAACUGGUUGGCUAGAGUACGGUAGAGGGUAGUGGAAUUUCCUGUGUAGCGGUGAAAUGCGUAGAUAUAGGAAGGAACACCAGUGGCGAAGGCGGCUACCUGGACCGGUUCUGACGCUGAGGCGCGAAAGCAUGGGGAGCAAACAGGAUUAGAUA